CAACAGCGGAAAGGAGGUGGUCGAAUGUCUCAUUGUCUCAUGCCGCUAGCGGCGGAUCUGGGCGCGGCCUCCCUCGCGGGGGACGUCCGCGCUUGAUGAAGCCGUAACCGGCUGACAAUGGAAGGGCCGCCCCGCAAGAGGCGGCCCU
rnacentral:sRNA from 1 species